GAUAAACGCUGGCGGCGUGCUUUACCAAUGCGAGUCGUGCGGGUCAUCGAAAGAUGGCAAGCGGCGUCCGGGUGCGUAACACGUGGGUGACCUACCUUGAUGUGGGGGAUACCCGCCCGAAAGGGUGGCUAAUACCGCAUACGCUCUCUCCUCCUGGGGAAAGAGCAAAGCCCGCGAGGGCGCAUUUAGAGGGGGCCCGCGGCCUAUCAGCUUGAUGGUGAGGUAAUGGCUCACCAUGGCUUUGACGGGUAGCCGGUCUGAGAGGACGAACGGCCACAGUGGGACUGAAAU
rnacentral:rRNA from 1 species